CAAAUAUCUUGUCUUCUAGGAGUUUGGCUUUAGUCUGUUCACUACAGAACCAUCCUAUUGGUGGCUUUCUUCUGCUGGAAAGCUUGAUGUUAAAAAAUGUAAUGUCCCUCUGGGUGCCUGGUAAUUGACUUUUGAACUCAGGAACUUUUAUUUUCUGAAACAUUCAGAUUUAGAAAUUCUUGAAUUCAGGAUUACCCAUAAGGAAACUUCUAAGGGUUAUUUCUUUUCAGCAUUGUACUUCUUUGACCUGACUCAGAGAAGGAAAUAGAAGGUAGACAGUAUUGGGAGUUCUAGGAAUUCCCCUCCCAGCCUACAUACUACAGAUGGGACAUUUUCUCUCAGUGAGGAUUUAUAUCAGUCAGCUGGUCAUCAGGAGACAACUACAGUCAUCAGGAAACAACUACAGUCACCAGGGAACAAUUAGAAUAGCUCCUUUGCCUUCUUACUAAGAGGGUGUGAACAAAUCUUUCAUUGAAUUGGAAAUGGGCAAGGCCAAAUGCCAUAUGACAAUUGGCUUUGCUUCUGGAUGAUAAUUCUUGUAGUACUAUGGUAUCAAUAUAUUUCAAGAAUUCAAGUAAGUCUAAGUCGAGGGUAACUGUUGGUCACUUGUGGCAAAAGACAACAGGAUGGCAGAAGAGGGAUUUCUUUCUCUUUCCUUCCAGUUUCUAGAGUAAAGGUACUUGAUAAAUAAGAAAACAUGCUUUCUGGAAGUCUGAGAGUUUUUCCAUUUGAAUGAAUCUAGGCAGGAGGCAGCAAUUGAGCUGAGACACACACAAUUCAUGGAGAUCAUGAGACAGGGAAGAGCAGUCCAGAAGAAAACAGAUGAUAAAACCAUGUCACAAAGACCCUGUGGUCAGAAGACGACUAUGGGGAGGACUCCAGAGAGAAGAAAAAGGACGUCAAACUCUGUACCAGAAAUGUGGGUGGCCAUAAUCACAUAUAUUUUUUAUAUGUUUACUCUGAGGUACCACUUUACAACUCUCAGAUUGAUUAAGAUGACGGGAAAAGA